UUCCCUGAUGCGCUGGGUUUUGGAGUUUCCCCUGGUAGGAUUAAUGGCGUUUCCCCUUGGGGUUGCGUCAGUUUUUUUUUUUUGUUUGUUUAAUGUUGUGGCAACGUGGUUAGUGUCAGCUGUUCUUUGGACAGCUGUCUCGGGAGCACGUCCGCGUGAUUUUGUGAAGUUGCCUGGUAACAGGUCGCUUUACAAAUCCGCUGGUUUCCAGUGCGUAAAUACCCGCCGCAAGCCGCAUGAAGACUAGGGGACGGAUUGCUUGUGCGGAAAUGGGUGCCAUGCCACGGAGAUGUUGUCGGUGAGCCGGUGUUUCAGAUCGUUGUGCCUGAGGAUUUUCGUAAUCUGGUGUUGAAAAUUGCUCAUGAUGAGUCAGGACAUCUAGGGAGGCUGAGGAGCUAUUUGCAGAGGAGAUGACACCUACCCCUUCAUGAGAGCAACCUUUAUGGUGUCCAGUGGAUGUCCAACUGCCAGUCCCACUGCACCUAAAAUAACCAGCAAGAAAGUGUUAUUUCUCCUAAUGUAUACAAUACUAUACUGUAUUUAAUCAACUUCUCUGUUUCAUCACUGUUUGUUUUUUUUUAUACCUGAAAUACUCCCAGCUAUGAAUUCCAAAAAAGGCAUGACUUGCACAAUUCCACAACCUGCAAAGUAGACCAAAGUGUUUGACCUGUUAUAAAGAUAGGUUGAAAAUUCAGCUUUAUAGCAGCUGUAAAGUUGAAUUUUCAACCUAACUGAUGAUCUGACAGGCGAGGAUAGUUAACAUAUAGGCCCAGGCACGUGCACACAUCAUCACUGAUUUUUUUAUAAAUGAAUAUACAGUAUAUUUAUUCCUGUUUCCAACAGAUUCCCUGUCAAACAAAUAUAUUUAUUGGGAAAAAUCUAAAAACAGGCUAUCAGCUCAGAGGAUGAGACUUUGGAGUUCCGAUGCCUUCUCUCUCUCUCUCUCUCUCUCUCUCCAGCUUCUCUCCCAGCAGUGUGUUUUUCUUGGCUUGUGUGGAGGUGAGUGGUGAUAAACAAAAGACUAAACUACCAGUGCCUCGAGUUUACCGCUAAUUAAACACAUAACUAACGCAUGACUCAUGAGCUGAGCUAAUGUAAUAAGUUAGCUGAAGUUUAGCUAAGGCAAUAUCUAAUGGCCAUAUAACCUAAUAUACUGAUGGAGACACUACAGGUGAACACAGUAACAUUCGUGUCUAAUAACGUCAUCACAAUCGCCACAUUGCAAAUAUACAUAUGCAAAUUAAAUUAAAAUGCGCCUAUUUGCACACAUACCACAUACCAAAGAACUUCCCCAGUUAAUGACUUGCAUCAAGAGCAUUUUCCUCUGAAAUUAGCUUGUUUUGGUUAAUAUAGAAUAAAUCUACAGAUGUAAACGCUCUGUACUUGUAUAGCGCCUUUCUAGUCUUUUCACCAGUCACACACUGAGCCUAAGUGCUCAAACGGAAACUAACAUUCACACUCAUUCAUACACUGGCGGAAUAGCCGCCAGGGGCAAUUCGGGGUUCAGUAUCAAGGAAACUUCGACACGCAACCAGGGGGAGCCAGGGAUUGAACCGCCGACCUUCCGAUUAACGGCCAACCCGCUCUACCUCCUGAGCCACAGCCGCCCCAGAUGCAAACAGACGGAGGUUAUUAGGCUUAAAACAGACACCAUCUAAAUGUGUGUUCUUGAAGUUUUAUUUCCAUUAGAGUAAAAGAAGACAUGGAAGCAAAAUAGACCAAAGUCUCAAAAUUGACCACUCCAUGAAAAAGUGCCUUAAAGAGUAACUUCAUAGUUUUGA